AGAAAUGUUUACAUGGAAGUAUUCUUAGCGGCGGACGGGUGAGUAACACGUGGGAAACCUGCCUCAAAGUGGGGGAUAGCCUUCCGAAAGGAAGAUUAAUACCGCAUAAGCCUACAGUGCCGCAUGGCACCGUAGGAAAAGGAGCAAUCCGCUUUGAGAUGGACCCGCGGCGCAUUAGCUAGUUGGUGAGGUAACGGCUCACCAAGGCGACGAUGCGUAGCCGACCUGAGAGGGUGAUCGGCCACAUUGGAACUGAGACACGGUCCAGACUCCUACGGGAGGCAGCAGUGGGGAAUAUUGCACAAUGGGCGAAAGCCUGAUGCAACAACGCCGCGUGAGUGAUGAAGGCCUUCGGGUCGUAAAGCUCUUUGAUCAGGGAUGAUAAUGACAGUACCUGAAAAACAAGCCACGGCUAACUACGUGCCAGCAGCCGCGGUAAUACGUAGGUGGCGAGCGUUGUCCGGAAUUACUGGGCGUAAAGGAUGCGUAGGUGGAUACUUAAGUGGGAUGUGAAAUCCCCGGGCUCAACCCGGGAACUGCAUUCCAAACUGGGUAUCUAGAGUGCAGGAGAGGAAAGCGGAAUUCCUAGUGUAGCGGUGAAAUGCGUAGAUAUUAGGAGGAACACCAGUGGCGAAGGCGGCUUUCUGGACUGUAACUGACACUGAGGCAUGAAAGCGUGGGUAGCAAACAGGAUUAGAUACCCUGGUAGUCCACGCCGUAAACGAUGGGUACUAGGUGUAGGAGGUAUCGACCCCUUCUGUGCCGUCGUUAACACAAUAAGUACCCCGCCUGGGGAGUACGGUCGCAAGACUAAAACUCAAAGGAAUUGACGGGGGCCCGCACAAGCAGCGGAGCAUGUGGUUUAAUUCGAAGCAACGCGAAGAACCUUACCUAGACUUGACAUCUCCUGAAUUACCCUUAACCGGGGAAGCCCUUCGGGGCAGGAAGACAGGUGGUGCAUGGUUGUCGUCAGCUCG
rnacentral:rRNA from 1 species